rnacentral:lncRNA from 1 species
AUGAAAUGCCGGCGUAUAUAUAUUUUGAACAUUUGACAUAACCCUGUAUGUUUUGUAAGGACAACCCAGGACGUGCAUUUCUCAGCACCCAGUCAACUGCCAGAAGUGACUUAAACACAGGCCACCAGUGGCACUCAGCUGUACCACUGCAGUGCUGCAGAAAUUGCCAGCAUCAGCGGCUUUGCAACAGCUGUUUCACAGCAUGUCGGAGACAAUGCCUACGAAAUUAUUGGCCCUGAUGACGAGAGCCCUCAAGGGGCAAACGACAUCUCUGUUGCAGAAGUGAGCCCGAUACCACCUGAAGUUACCAUGACAGAUGACACGGCAGCAAUAGAUACAGAGACUGCCAUGUCUACUGCAGCUGCAACAGUGUACGAGGCAAGCAGCAGCACGUCAGCAUCAGCAGCAGUGUCAGAAGGAACCGUACCAGGCCUGGUAGAGCAACACGUGUGCAAUCACUGACUUUUUUUGUAGUGCAUACAACUCAUUUGCUCAACAUACAAAAGCUUUUCACCACGACUGUGAGCCAGUGUUCUUGUGCAGCAAGUGCAAGACUAGGUUAGGUGUUAUAACACAGUACAAGCAUCACGUUAAGAUAUACAAAUGCAAACAUAUUAAAGUUGUUGCCUCCCCAGCCAGCUCACAUAGCGACAACAAUAUGGAACACAUGGUAGGACACACCUCUCCUCUAUUAGAAGAUAGUAGAGACUGUCACUGUUGUUGCUGUAUUGACUGGUAUUUGUAAGCAGCUAGAAGGACAACGCAGGUGUCAUAAGAUUGUUGUUGACGUUGUUGUUGAAGAGGUAAAAAAGAAGUUUGAUGCAGCUGAAGUGCCAACUGAUAUUGAGCAAAUCAAAAGCAACCACCUGAGAAAGCAACACUAUCGAUAUUUGGGUAUCUAUGUGCCGC